rnacentral:rRNA from 1 species
AUUGAACGCUGGCGGCAGGCCUAACACAUGCAAGUCGAGCGAGCGGCGGACGGGUGAGUAUUGUCUGGGAAACUGCCUGAUGUAGGGGGAGAACUACUGGAAACGGUAGCUAUUACCGCAUACCAUCAGAUGUGCCCAGAUGGGAUUAGCUAGUAGGUGGGGUAACGGUGCACCCAGGCGACGAUCCCUAGCUGGUAUGAGAGGAUGACCAUCCACACGGGAACGGAGACACGGUCCAGACUCCUACGGGAGGCAGCAGUGGGGAAUAUUGCACAAUGGGCGCAAGCCUGAUGCAGCCAUGCCGCGUGUAUGAAGAAGGCCUUCGGGUUGUAAAGCACUUUCAGCGGGGAGGCGUUACCCGCAGAAGAAGCACCGGCUAACUCCGUGCCAGCAGCCGCGGUAAUUC